UUCCGGUUGAUCCCGCCGGAAGUCACUGCUAUUGGGAUUCGACUAAGCCAUGCGAGUCGAGAGGGUUCGGCCCUCGGCAGACGGCUCAGUAACACGUGGAUAAUCUGCCCUUAGGUGGAGGAUAACCUCGGGAAACUGAGAAUAAUACUCCAUAGGUCUAGAAGGCUGGAAUGCAUCUAGGCUUAAAGCUCCGGCGCCUAAGGAUGAGUCUGCGGACUAUCAGGUUGUAGUCAGGGUAAUGACCUGACUAGCCUACGACGGAUAUGGGUUGUGAGAGCAAUAACCCAGAGAUGAUAUCUGAGACACGAUAUCAGGCCCUACGGGGCGCAGCAGGCGCGAAAACUUCACAAUGCGCGAAAGCGCGAUGAGGGAAUCCCAAGUGCUUGCUCGUAAGAGUAAGCUGUUUCUAUGUUUAAAAUGCAUAGAGAGUAAGGGCUGGGUAAGACGGGUGCCAGCCGCCGCGGUAAUACCUGCAGCUCAAGUGGUGGCCGCUAUUAUUGGGCCUAAAACGUCCGUAGCCGGUUUAAUAAAUGCCUGGGUAAAUCGUGUAGCUUAACUAUACGAAUUCCGGGUAGACUGUUAAACUUGAGACCGGGAGAAGUUAGAGGUACUCCUGGGGUAGAGGUGAAAUUCUGUAAUCCUAGGGGGACCACCAGUGGCGAAGGCGUCUGA
rnacentral:rRNA from 1 species